AGUGAGCUCUUUUUUAAUCUGUAGGUAAUGUAGGCUGUCGGGGGGAGGGGCAAGAGUGAAAGCAGGGAUAUCAGCUAACAGACCAAGCAGUCCGGGAGAGAGAAGUGUUGCUGUGACUGGGGUGACCGUGGUUAACCUUUAUCCGCGGAAAGGGAACUGUAGUUCCUGGCAAGGAGUGGGUCCCGCUGGCGGAAUGGGAACUUUCCUUCCCACUUCAUUUGAGUUAUUUCUCGCUCCUUCUAUGAUGAUGGUUGGAGUGCGUAAUGAUGUCAGGACUAUUUAUCUCUCAACAGAUGUCCCUUUUGACCUGCUAGCCCGCCCCCCUUUUUCUGGGCAGUAUCUAUAACAACAAACGUUGUCUUGGAACUCCCCUCCUCGCUCAACACCUCCCCCUUCUGACAUGCUGCGCGGGCACUUUCUUAUGAGUGUCUGACAAGGAACUUUUGGCCUGGGAUUCCCCUCGCUCAACACAGGCCCCUUUCGACGUGUAACCUGGCCCUUAUCUGAGGAGGAUACAACAAGCUUAGGCCUUGGAUUCCCCUCGCUGUUGCUGUCUCUUCUGGGCUAAGAUUUUUUAGUUCCCCUGCUACUUCGAUGGCGAACAGUUCCCUCAAAGUUGUCUGAGUGUUAUAAGCAUUUAUUCAAACUCUCCUGAUUCUUUGGCUGGCUUUUUAUUGACUGCUCCAUUUAUUUCGGAAAAAAACACUCUAACAUCACCAUGAAUCGCAAAAGAAAAUUACAAGAGAGUGAAAUUAUGGAGGAACUUUUCGCAGACAGCGAUUCCGACGCACAAUGACAGCUCCAAGGAAGAGGAUGGCAGCAUCGACCAAGACUUAGCUCAAACUCAGGCAAAGGAGUGGGUGAAAAAGUCAAGGAGCUACGUAUUUCAACAUCCAUUCAUUUUUUCCGGUGGUGAAAAGGGUUUGAAUGCAAAUGAAGCUCCUAAUACCACGGCAGGUUCCUCACCCAUGACAGUAUUUUUCCUCUAUUUUCAAGAAGUUAUUCGCCUGCUAGUGCUUGAGACAAACAGAUAUUACUCCCAGUUUAUACAGAAAAAGGAAGUUGGAUCAUCUCUGGAACCUGACAUAAAAUACUCUGAAAUGUGUACUUUUUUGGCAAUUGUGAUUCAAAUGGGACAUGAUAUCCGAGAUUCUCUAAAAGACUAUUGGGCACGAUUGGAACAGUUUUACACCCCUUUCUAUGGCAAUGGCACGCGAUAGGUUCUUACAUAUCCUUAGAUUUUUACAUUUCACAAACAAUGAGAAUGAACCGAACAGGAAUGAUGAAAGUUAUGAUAGACUCUGGAAGACAAGAAACCUUUCUGAUGUUCUCAAUGAAAAAUAUUCUAAACUUUACAGGCCUUCAGAGUACCUAGCAGUGGAUGAAGUCAUUGUUCUUUUCAAAGGCAGAGUGAUUUUCAAACAAUACAUUCCAAAAAAACAUGAGAGGUUCGGAAUAAAAAUCUAUAAGUUGUGUGACUCAGCGGGAUAUACAGUAGAUAUGACUGUUUACCUGGGGAAGGACAGGCAAAACGCAGCAAAAGACAUAACAGCUACGCAUGCGACUGUGAAAACUUUGACGAGAAGAAUGGAAGGAAGGGGGCUUAAGCUUAUGAUGGAUAAUUUUUUUCUUCUGAACUUUUCGAUGACCUAAGGAAAAUAAAAAUAAAUUGCUGUGGGACAGUUAGAGCAAAUCGAAUUGGUUUGCCGAAAGAAUUCAAAGACAAGAAAUUGAAAAUGAAACGCGGAGAUGUGAAGGUGAGAUGCAGACGAGAUCUAACGGCGAUUAUUUGGAGAGAUAAAAGAAAUGUCCAUAUGUUGACAAAUAUGCACGUGCCACCUGAAGAGAGGAACUUCUGUGAUAGCCAGGGGAAAGCUCUGAAACCUGGAGUCAUGAAAGACUACAACAAACAUCUGGGUUACGUUGAUAAAUCCGACAGAAUGGCUAAUAGUUACUCCAUUAGCAGACAAACUUGGAAGUGGACGAAAAAGUUAUUCUUUCACCUCCUUGAUCUGACUAUUCUAAAUUCAUGGAUUGCCUUUGUUUCUGUAGGGAGCAAGAUGACCCAUCGAGAUUUUUGUUUGGCGCUCGUGAGAAAUCUUUUGGAGGCCGCUAGGGAGGAGAAUCAACCUACUUAUUGCCUGAUAGGCCAGCCUGCUGCUGCGUCAACAAACAGCAUUUGCUUUGACGCGAGAGAGAACGAGCACUGGAUAGAGAGAGGAAAGAAAGCCAGAUGCCGUGUAUGCUCACUUCGCGGCAAAGAAAGUCGCACGGGUUUUUGAUGCUCAAAGUGCAACGUAGGCCUGUGUAUAGACAACUGUUUCAAAUUAUUUCACACAAAAACUAAUUUAGAAUAAAAAGAACUUUUUGAAGACCAUUUCCAAGAGUGAAACGUUAAAAAAAUGUAAUAAUAAAAAAUGAAAUGUGUAUUUUUUGUAUUAAAAAAUGUAAUUUAAAUUGUAAA